rnacentral:rRNA from 1 species
ACUACGGGAGGCAGCAGUAGGGAAUAUUGCUCAAUGGGGGAAACCCUGAAGCAGCAACGCCGCGUGGAGGAUGAAGGUUUUCGGAUUGUAAACUCCUUUUGUUAGAGAAGAUAAUGACGGUAUCUAACGAAUAAGCACCGGCUAACUCCGUGCCAGCAGCCGCGGUAAUACGGAGGCUGCAAGCGUUACUCGGAAUCACUGGGCGUAAAGAGCGCGUAGGCGGGAUAGCAAGUCAGAUGUGAAAUCCUAUGGCUUAACCAUAGAACUGCAUUGGAAACUGUGAUUCUAGAGUAUGGGAGAGGUAGGUGGAAUUCUGGGUGUAGGGGUAAAAUCCGUAGAGAUCAAGAGGAAUACUCAUUGCGAAGGCAUCUCACGAAUCCGUGAUUGACGCUGAUGCACGAAAGCGUGGGUAUCAAACAGGAUUAGAUACCCGGGUAGUC